GCAGUGGUGGUUCAGUGGUAGAAUUCUCACCUUCCAUGCAGGAGACCUGGGUUUGAUUCACAGCCAAUGUA
rnacentral:tRNA from 1 species